UGGCUCAGUGGUAGAGUGCUUGCCUCGCAUGCAUGAACCCCUGGGUUCGAUUCCCCAG
rnacentral:tRNA from 1 species